GACGAACGCUGGCGGCGCGCCUAACACAUGCAAGUCGAACGAGAGAUGAGGAGCUUGCUCUUCAAAUCGAGUGGCGAACGGGUGAGUAACGCGUGAGGAACCUGCCUCAAAGAGGGGGACAACAGUUGGAAACGACUGCUAAUACCGCAUAAGCCCACGGCUCGGCAUCGAGCAGAGGGAAAAGGAGCAAUCCGCUUUGAGAUGGCCUCGCGUCCGAUUAGCUAGUUGGUGAGGUAACGGCCCACCAAGGCGACGAUCGGUAGCCGGACUGAGAGGUUGAACGGCCACAUUGGGACUGAGACACGGCCCAGACUCCUACGGGAGGCAGCAGUGGGGAAUAUUGCACAAUGGGGGAAACCCUGAUGCAGCGACGCCGCGUGGAGGAAGAAGGUCUUCGGAUUGUAAACUCCUGUUGUUGAGGAAGAUAAUGACGGUACUCAACAAGGAAGUGACGGCUAACUACGUGCCAGCAGCCGCGGUAAAACGUAGGUCACAAGCGUUGUCCGGAAUUACUGGGUGUAAAGGGAGCGCAGGCGGGAGAACAAGUUGGAAGUGAAAUCCAUGGGCUCAACCCAUGAACUGCUUUCAAAACUGUUUUUCUUGAGUAGUGCAGAGGUAGGCGGAAUUCCCGGUGUAGCGGUGGAAUGCGUAGAUAUCGGGAGGAACACCAGUGGCGAAGGCGGCCUACUGGGCACCAACUGACGCUGAGGCUCGAAAGUGUGGGUAGCAAACAGGAUUAGAUACCCUGGUAGUCCACACCGUAAACGAUGAUUACUAGGUGUUGGAGGAUUGACCCCUUCAGUGCCGCAGUUAACACAAUAAGUAAUCCACCUGGGGAGUACGACCGCAAGGUUGAAACUCAAAGGAAUUGACGGGGGCCCGCACAAGCAGUGGAGUAUGUGGUUUAAUUCGACGCAACGCGAAGAACCUUACCAAGUCUUGACAUCCCUUGACGAUGCUGGAAACAGUAUUUCUCUUCGGAGCAAGGAGACAGGUGGUGCAUGGUUGUCGUCAGCUCGUGUCGUGAGAUGUUGGGUUAAGUCCCGCAACGAGCGCAACCCUUAUGGUCAGUUACUACGCAAGAGGACUCUGGCCAGACUGCCGUUGACAAAACGGAGGAAGGUGGGGAUGACGUCAAAUCAUCAUGCCCUUUAUGACUUGGGCUACACACGUACUACAAUGGCGUUAAACAAAGAGAAGCAAGACCGCGAGGUGGAGCAAAACUCAGAAACAACGUCCCAGUUCGGACUGCAGGCUACAACUCGCCUGCACGAAGUCGGAAUUGCUAGUAAUCGUGGAUCAGCAUGCCACGGUGAAUACGUUCCCGGGCCUU
rnacentral:rRNA from 1 species